rnacentral:rRNA from 1 species
UACGUAGGGCGCAAGCGUUGUCCGGAAUUAUUGGGCGUAAAGAGCUCGUAGGCGGUCUGUUGCGUCCGCUGUGAAAACCCGGGGCUUAACCCUGGGCUGGCAGUGGAUACGGACAGACUAGAGGUAGGUAGGGGAGAAUGGAAUUCCCGGUGUAGCGGUGAAAUGCGCAGAUAUCGGGAGGAACACCGGUGGCGAAGGCGGUUCUCUGGGCAUUACCUGACGCUGAGGAGCGAAAGUGUGGGGAGCGAACAGG